GUGCUCGCUUAGGCAGCAUAUAUACUAAAAUUGGAAUGAUACAGAGAAGAUUGGCAUGGCCUCUGUGCAAGGAAAGGCCACGACAGGUAAGAGUUUAUGCCAACCUGG
ensembl:snRNA U6 U6 spliceosomal RNA